AGUGAACGCUGGCGGUAGGCCUAACACAUGCAAGUCGAACGGCAGCACAGUAAGAGCUUGCUCUUACGGGUGGCGAGUGGCGGACGGGUGAGGAAUACAUCGUAAUCUACUUUUUCGUGGGGGAUAACGUAGGGAAACUUACGCUAAUACCGCAUACGACCUACGGGUGAAAGCAGGGGAUCUUCGGACCUUGCGCGAUUGAAUGAGCCGAUGUCGGAUUAGCUAGUUGGCGGGGUAAAGGCCCACCAAGGCGACGAUCCGUAGCUGGUCUGAGAGGAUGAUCAGCCACACUGGAGCUGAGACACGGUCAAGGCGCCUACGGGAGGCAGCAGUGGGGAAUAUUGGACAAUGGGCGCAAGCCUGAUCCAGCCAUACCGCGUGGGUGAAGAAGGCCUUCGGGUUGUAAAGCCCUUUUGUUGGGAAAGAAAAGCAGCAGGUUAAUACCCCGCUGUUCUGACGGUACCCAAAGAAUAAGCACCGGCUAACUUCGUG
rnacentral:rRNA from 1 species